ensembl:lncRNA
UUUUGUUGGGUUGGUGAGACUGCAGACUCUGGAUCUGUCCAGAAACCAUCUGGUUCUGUGGCACUUGCGCCCCUGCUGAGGCUUUUUCCUUUCUCAGUUGGCUGACAAACCUCAACCUGGAGCUCAACUCGUGGAACUGCUCCUGUCAGCUGCUGGACCUGGCUGCCUUCCUGACCACCUUCAUACAACAGCCCGACAAGGUGCAUGACGUCUUCAACCUUAAAACAGAGCAGAAUCAUCUUUUAUUUGGGGACUGCAAACUAUGACUCCAGGAGUUCUGAGACCCUUUAUAAUGGCCAUAGGAUGGUGUGUGUGAGCGCCGACAACUCGGCGGUAACCACGGUGCUGGAGCUGACCAACCAGCUGGCCAACUGUGUCCCGUCCAAUCAGAACAUCACAGUGCGGAUAGACGCACAAGGCAGCGUGACCCCUCAACGCUACGCCCAAGAUCUGGCCAUCACUGCAGUCAUCUGCUUCAUCGGUGGUGUGUGCUUGACCCUGCUGGCAGUCCUCAUCGUCUAUCAAGUGUUUCGGAGUAAGAAACUGAAAGAAAGUAAAAGACAGCAAGAAGAAGAGAGAAACAGCACCGUGGAGAAUCACCGUGCCGAUCACAGAGAUGUUGGGGCAAAGAGGAUGGACCUCUUGUGGCAGGCACAUAGAAUCCAGCCUUGGGACAGGGAGGCCUUGAUGAUAGAUGCAUGGACAGAGGGCCACAGUGGCCAGUUUGAGUCCAGAACUGGCCACGGCGACGGGCAUUUUAGGUGUCCAGACUGCAGCACCCAAGGACAGAGAGGGAUGGGCCCAAAACCGAUGAGAUGCAACGACAGGACACGCGGAAAGAUGGAGACGGACGAGGAAAGCGAGACAAGGGGAAUGAGGAGGAUACUGAUGGAAGAAAAGAGGAGGCUUGAGCAGGGAAUAAUAGGCAGGGACCUUCAGGACGAGGUUCUUCCACGAUGUAACGUCAACUCUUCCUCACGUCCACGUAAAGAAACCAUUGCCCAGAGAGCAGAGGCCCUGGCUCAUAAGACAAACAUAGAAAUUGAGGAGAGCCACAGGACCCACAUGGAAGGUAGGAGCAGAGAACAUGAGAUGUUACCCUGUGAGAGCUGCCACAGGAUGAACAGACCUCCAGAGCAGAACAGAGGACAAGGAAGGAUUCAUUUUGAAGGCGUCCAUCCUCAGUACGGACAGAUUGGCAGGGUUAGGAAUGUUAACCACAACAAGUAUGACACAAAGAACACAGGAUUGAGGAGAGAAAAUAGAAAUGUAACGUUUGACCUGGAGAGUUCAAGCAGCCCGAGACGCAAGUACAAGAGGGAGGGGGAAGUGAGGAGCUCCCGAGAAAAGGAGAGAGGAAAGAGGCAUAAAGCUGAAGUCCAGUCAAGCCGGCCACCGAAGGUUAAACUGAACUUGAACCCACUAGGAAAGAUCCAAGUCCAUCCUAAAAAGACAACCAAGCUGGGACACUCAGAGGAAGUCAGCUCAAAGAAGAGUAAAGACAAAAGGCAGGAUGCAGAAUACAGAGGAGAGAGGGAAGCAAUAGGAAAGUCUGGUAAGAAAACCAAGGAGAAAACCUUGAACAAAGGACCGAAUGAGGAUCAUGAGGAAGAGAACAAAGCUGAAGACACAGAAGGAGGCCAGGAAAGUAAAGCGUCCUUUGAGCAGGAAAAUGGGGGGCAGAGAAGUAUAGAGGACUCCCAUCGUGACGAUACAGCUAACGCUGCUGACCCAUCAGCCUUUGGACAAGGACAGAUGUUGCAGGACGGGAGUAUUCAGUUUCAGGGAGCUGGAAUGGUUUUGGGGAGUGCCCAGCUUUCCUCGCAGCAUCCCUUAUCCAUCUCUCACAACCUCUCCCUCCUUGGCUCGACAAGCUCUCAACCAACUAGCAGCAGUCUCUUCCUUCAAGGAGGGAAUUUCCUUGUCCCGGGAUCGCUGUUCCCCACUGGUCCAGCUAAAUCCGUUGGUCCUAUAGCAAUCAGUGGGCCAAACAUGGCUCCAUGUGACAUGACUUUGCAAGCAAGUGAAAUCCAAAACUCACCUCUUCCUACCUCCCAUGCUGCAGGACUGCCCUUGAGUUUAAACCCGUCUGUUGACCCUGCACAUGUGCAGUCCCUCUCGCAGAGCAAGCCCCCUCUGGACAGCUCUCCUCUUGUAGCAAGUUGGAAGCCUGAUCCAGUCCCGGCAUCAGGCUUUUCCACUGGGGUAGGAGUACGUCACAAUCUCCCAACUCAGGCCUCUUUAAGUGGGGAUGGUUUGUCCGCAGUGACCCCUCAGGCUCCUGGACCAGUGACUACAGUGGAGAAUCUGUCAAACAACAACAGUCAGACAGAGACUGAGGGAGUGCAUGCUGGUCCCACAGUCCUGUCAGCUGCCGCCCUUCCUGAAGGACCUGCUGCACAGUUGUCAGGAGGCAGUAUGCAGGGAGCAGAUGUGUCUGAAUCAGGUGUCUCUGCACCCAGCGUGUCCACACAGAGCGUGUCCUCCACCGGGGACGCAGCAGCUGCACUGCUGCAGCAGGAGUACCUGUCAGAGGAAGGGGGAUCCUCCCCAAGGAGGAAGCUGAGGCUGGUGCUUCCUGAGAAGACGUUGAGCCGACCACCCACCGCUCUGGAGAGAAAGAUACGCUAGCGGCUCUUGUCAUGUUGUUGUGGACUGGAAGGGUCAGAAGAAGCAUUCGUUCAAGUCAUCUAAGAUAGUUCAAGUUCACAUGAAGAGAGGAGUGAGGUGGAUGCUGUCAUACCUUGUAAAUAUGUUGAACACUAAAUGAGUGUUCCAGAGAUUUAUUUAGGAGUUGUAUUUUUGUAAUUAUAAACCAUAAGUAAAAAGGUUGGUGUUAUUUUUGAGUUUCAGAGUUCAUUUUUGACCUUUUUUAACAAAAUGUCCAUUAAUCUUUCAACCGCUGCACAGUUUGCUCAGUUAUCAUUGAUUCAGAGAAGCUCAAUUUUCUUUGCAUUUAAGUUUCACUUGUGUAAAAAGUUAUUUUGGACUUUUUAAUGCAAUUCUUGAUCUUAAAGAAAGCUAUUGACUAAACAAUCUUACCUCCAGGUAUAUUUAGUAGCUUUUGUGGGGCUGUUUGCACUGUAAAGUUCCAGCUCUAGGACUCCAUGAAGAGCAAGUGAUAAGCUCAAAGCUCAAAGUCGUCUAAUGGGAUGUUUUGUCUGCAAGGUCACCAGUUGCCAUGUUGAAUUUAAAAUGUAGCACCUUUAAGUAUGUAGUGCGAUUCAGUAACUUCACUGACAUCACAUCACUUUCAUUUUCUAAUUACUGAACACAAGAUACUGAGACAAAAUUAAAAAAACAGCGGUGACGUCACUGACACCCCAGUGAUCGGGGCAGCCCAUGGACCUGAGCACUACAGUAACAGAGGCUGCAGGGACUCACACCUCACACCUCCAGGCUGAUUCUGUGUGUCACUGCUGGAUUGGGUUUUGUUUCGUUGGCACCAGGACGGUUGUUUGCAGCAGGUUGGGUUUCACUGGUCACACUGCCGACCUCUAAACGCGGCCUGCAGGUGGAUCGGUUUACACUUCCCGAAGGUGCCAUGUCAAGAGUGCUGCUAAUUUGCCAAGAUGAGAAACAACAUUUUACAAAAGCCUUGUGGCUUUUCAAUGCAAAGUGCGCUUACACAGGAAAGGAGGGCGUGCUCUUCCUUUCU